UACGUAGGCAGCGAGCGUUGUUCGGAGUUACUGGGCGUAAAGAGUGCGUAGGCGGUUUUCUAAGUUUGGUGUGAAAUCUCCCGGCUUAACUGGGAGGGUGCGCCGAAAACUGGAAGGCUUGAGUAUGGGAGAGGUAAGCGGAAUUCCUGGUGUAGCGGUGAAAUGCGUAGAUAUCGAGGAGGAACACCUGCGGUGAGCUGA
rnacentral:rRNA from 1 species